GACGUAGGGGGCGAGCGUUAUCCGGAAUUACUGGGCGUAAAGCGCGUGUAGGCGGUUUGAUAAGAUGGUUGUGAAAGCUCCCGGCUUAACCGGGAGAGGCCAAUCAAGACUGUCAGACUUGAGUGAGGUAGAGGAGUACGGAAUUCCCGGUGUAGUGGUGGAAUGCGUAGAGAUCGGGAGGAACACCAGUGGCGAAAGCGGUACUCUGGGCCUUAACUGACGCUGAGAUGCGAAAGCGUGGGGAGCGAACGGG
rnacentral:rRNA from 1 species